rnacentral:rRNA from 1 species
GAUGAACGCUGGCGGCGUGCCUAAUACAUGCAAGUCGAGCGAACAGACGAGGAGCUUGCUCCUCUGACGUUAGCGGCGGACGGGUGAGUAACACGUGGAUAACCUACCUAUAAGACUGGGAUAACUUCGGGAAACCGGAGCUAAUACCGGAUAAUAUAUUGAACCGCAUGGUUCAAUAGUGAAAGACGGUUUUGCUGUCACUUAUAGAUGGAUCCGCGCCGCAUUAGCUAGUUGGUAAGGUAACGGCUUACCAAGGCAACGAUGCGUAGCCGACCUGAGAGGGUGAUCGGCCACACUGGAACUGAGACACGGUCCAGACUCCUACGGGAGGCAGCAGUAGGGAAUCUUCCGCAAAGGGCGAAAGCUUGACGGAGCAACGCCGCGUGAGUGAUGAAGGCCUUCGGAUCGUAAAACUCUGUUAUUAGGGAAGAACAAAUGUGUAAGUAACUAUGCACGUCUUGACGGUACCUAAUCAGAAAGCCACGGCUAACUACGUG